AUUGGUGUUCCCGGCGGUCGACUUCAAAUCUGUCGCGAGGGUGAC
rnacentral:tRNA from 1 species